UACGAAGGGGGCUAGCGUUGCUCGGAAUCACUGGGCGUAAAGCGCACGUAGGCGGACCCUUAAGUCGGUGGUGAAAUCCUGGAGCUCAACUCCAGAACUGCCUCCGAUACUGGGAGCCUUCGAGUCCGGGAGAGGUGAGUGGAACUGCGAGUGUAGAGGUGAAAUUCGUAGAUAUUCGCAAGAACACCAGUGGCGAAGGCGGCUCACUGGCCCGGUACUGACGCUGAGGUGCGAAAGCGUGGGGAGCAAACAGG
rnacentral:rRNA from 1 species